rnacentral:rRNA from 1 species
UACGAAGGGGGCUAGCGUUGCUCGGAAUUACUGGGCGUAAAGGGCGCGUAGGCGGCACUGUUAGUCAGGCGUGAAAAUUCCUGGGCUCAACCUGGGGACUGCGCUUGAUACGGCAGAGCUAGAGGAUGGAAGAGGCUCGCGGAAUUCCCAGUGUAGAGGUGAAAUUCGUAGAUAUUGGGAAGAACACCGGUGGCGAAGGCGGCGAGCUGGUCCAUUACUGACGCUGAGGCGCGACAGCG